UACGUAGGGUGCGAGCGUUAAUCGGAAUUACUGGGCGUAAAGCGUGCGCAGGCGGUUCGUUGUGUCGGCGGUGAAAGCCCCGGCUUAACCUGGAAUGCCGUUGAAACUGGCGAACUGGAGUGUGGCAGAGGGGGGGUGGAAUUCCGCGUGUAGCAGUGAAAUGCGUAGAGAUGCGGAGGAACACCAAUGGCGAAGGCAGCCUUCUGGCCAACACUGACGCUCAUGCACGAAAGCGUGGGGAGCAAACAGG
rnacentral:rRNA from 1 species